GAACGCAUUCUUCGGAAUGAGUGGCAGACGGGUGAGUAACACGUGGAACGUACCUUUCAGUUCGGAAUAACACAGGGAAACUUGUGCUAAUACCGGAUACGUCCGCAAGGAGAAAGAUUUAUCGCUGAAAGAUCGGCCCCGCGUCUGAUUAGCUGGUUGGUGAGGUAAUGGCUCACCAAGGCGACGAUCAGUAGCUGGUCUGAGAGGAUGAUCAGCCACACUGGGACUGAGACACGGCCCAG
rnacentral:rRNA from 1 species